rnacentral:rRNA from 1 species
AUACGUAGGGUGCAAGCGUUAAUCGGAAUUACUGGGCGUAAAGCGUGCGCAGGCGGUUUUGUAAGACAGAGGGGAAAUCCCCGGGCUCAACCUGGGAACUGCCUUUGUGACUGCAAGGCUGGAGUGCGGCAGAGGGGGAUGGAAUUCCGCGUGUAGCAGUGAAAUGCGUAGAUAUGCGGAGGAACACCGAUGGCGAAGGCAAUCCCCUGGGCCUGCACUGACGCUCAUGCACGAAAGCGUGAGGAGCAAACAGGAUUAGAUACCCUGGUAGUCCACGCCCUAAACGAUGUCAACUGGUUGUUGGGGAUUUAUUUUCUCAGUAACGAAGCUAACGCGUGAAGUUGACCGCCUGGGGAGUACGGCCGCAAGGUUAAAACUCAAAGGAAUUGACGGGG